rnacentral:lncRNA from 1 species
GGAUCUGAGGCAUGCUUAGAUCAUUACAAUAGACAGGGAUAACAUUAGUGAAUCACGUGAUAGUAUAGCCCAACGGCGAACUCGCUACAUAGCUUCAAGGUGUAGUAGUGAAAAAAGACAUGUCUUUCGGAAUUGUGGGAACAAAUGGUAGCGUUGGCUUAGGGAAAUCGGGGAAAUGAGGUAGUUCGGGCACUUUUGGUAAUUAUGGCUUCGGUAUUGUUGGUAAUUCAGGCUUUGGAAGUUCAGGAACCAACGGCAAUUCAACUUUUGGCAAAGAUGACAAUUCUGGCUUGGGUAGGCUCGGAAUGUCGGGAAGGUGAGGCAAUUCGGGCUUAGGUAAUUCAGGCACUUCAGGCACUUCAGGCAAUUCUGGCUUGGGCAAGCUCACAAUGUCGGGAAGAUGAGGCGAUUCGGGUUUGGGCAGUUCAGGCACUUCUGGUAAUUCUGGCUUUGGUAUUGUUGGUAAUUCAGGCUUUGGAAGUUCAGGAACUGACGGCAAUUCAACUUUUGGCAAAGAUGGCAAUUCUGGCUUGGGUAGGCUCGGAAUGUCGGGAAGGUGAGGCAAUUCAGGCUUAGGUAAUUCAGGCACUUCAGGCAAUGCUAACUCCAAAAGUUGGCGAGCUUCAACAGAAUUCUUGCCGAUCAUCAAGGACAGAGCAAGGACAAACAAUCCCAAAAUGUGCACAAACCUGUGAUAGUUUGCCAUGAUGGAAUUGACUAGCGAAAUGAAGAACUUCGAUGGUGAGGAGCUAUGAAUCUCAAGUGAAGGUGGUGGCGGUGUGUUUGAGGGAUGGCUUGGUUUGGGGUUUAAAGAGGGGACGUGGAGAUUAGGGAGAAUGCAAGUAUGUUUUGGUAGGAAAACUAGCAGAGUGUUAGCUCAACUUGGACACCAAUUUCAUUUCCAUAUGUUCAACACGAUUUGAGCAAAUUAAACAAUCCCAGAAUGAUCUUGCCAACUCUAGGCUUCAAAAGCAUGUAAUGUAACCAUCAGCUGUAUUAUUUUGGUUAGAAAAAAAGCCAAAAAGAUCUUCCUCUGCACAAGUAUGUUUUCUUUUCAAUUUUUUCUCACUAAAUUAAUUUUUGACUUACAUUCAGUGGACCAAGUUGAAAAGGGUCAUUUAAACUUAUAUAAAAUAGAUUUAAAAUGGUUAAGAAAAACAAACCCAACUAGAUGUGUUCAUUUUAAUCAAACGAAAUAAAGAAUCGGCAAUAAAAAAUACAAGACAGGUCAUCUUGGGUUUUAAUGGAUUGGGAUUGAACUCAUUUGAUUCAAAUAAUAGAUUUCGAUUGGACUCAUUUGAUUCAAACUAAAAAAAUUUUGGGGAUAAAAAAGAGGAGAGGAGAGGGAUAUCACGGUUACUUUCCUUCCUUCUAUUUGCAUGUGGGAAAACACCAAAAAGUUAUAAAUAUAUUGUAUUUGUGUCAAUUAUGUUAUAAAUAUAUUGCAUUGUGUCAAUUCAGUCUUAGGCCUUUUAAUUAGAUUAAUUUAGUCCUAAAUAUUUUGUUGGUGCCAACUAGUUCACGUGGACACCAGUCAUCUUAUGUAAUAUAGCUGACACUAACAUUAACAUUUUUAAUAAUUUUUAAUAAUUUUAAAUUUUUAAAUUUUUAAAUUUCUUUUUCUUCCUUUGAUUUGGCCAGCCGGAGGAGAAGGCAUUCGUGCCCUUGUUUGCAACCAGCUGCGAGUAAGGGUGUAAGAACUCCCUCGCCCAAGCCCCACCCAAAUUGACCCUCAAGAAUGGUUAGGCCCUAACCGGCCAAAAUGAAAGAAAGAAAAAUAUAAACAAUAAUUCAAAAAAAUUAAAUUGAAAAAAUUAUCCAUGUAAGCACCAAUCAUGCUACAUAGGAUGGCUAGUUAGCAAUUUUCAGCCAAAUUUGAUCAAAUAAACUGAAUUGACACAAACGUAAAUAAUUUAAAAUAAAAUUGGUUCAGUUGAAAGAUUUAUGAUUGAAUUAGUCAUAAAACAAUAAGUAUAGAUUUUUUUUUAAAAUUCUCCGCGCUAGAACAUAGAGGUGUCAAAAUGGGCAUUAACCCAUUUAUGGACCCAUUUAUGUUUAAAUAGGUCGUUAAUGGGUCAAGCCUAUUUCCUAAAGCACCUAUAAUGAGUUUUAAUGGGUUAAGACUGAGAUAUAUGAGUUAAGACCCAUUUAUCAACCCAUUAAAAAUGAAAUUAUUUAUUUUCACCCAAAAAAUCACAAUUUCUAUCUUCUCUCUUUAACUUUACAAAAAUAUUUUUUUAAAAGAAAGCAAAAUUAUAAUUAUUUUUUUAUUUUUUAUUUUUUCUUUCUUCUUCCUCUAGUCGCUGGCACGGUGAUGGCUGGCAACCGGCCAGGCAAGAGCCUCGCCAAUCUGGCAAGACUCGAACUCGCCGGCGUCAGGCAAGGCUCGAGCUCGCUAGACACCGACAAGCCUCAAGCUCGCCAGAUUUGGCGAGGCAAAGGCCCCGCUAACGUUCGGCGAGGCUUGAGUCUUGCUAGAUCCAACGAGGGGUGAGCUCAAGCUCGCUCGACGCCGGCAAGCCUCGAGCUUGCCAAAUCUGGCGAGGGGCGAGCUCAAGCUCACUCAACGUUGGUGAGCCUCGAGCUCAUCGGAUCCGGCAAGGCAGAGGCCUCACCAACAUUGACGAGCCAGGCGAGCUCCUGGUCGCCUGUGGCCGGCUGCCGGUUGUCGUCGUGGCCGACGGCCGGCCAAAGAAGAAGAAGAACAAAAAAUAAAAUUCAAAAUUCAAAAUUAUAUUUAAAAAAUAAAAAUAAAUUAAAAUUUAAUUUAAAAAAUAAAAAAUAAUUAAAAUUCGAUUUUUUAAAAUAUAUUUUUAAAAAAUUAUAAAAGUUGUCCAUUAAAUUUGCGUUGUAUAAAAUUAUUUUAGCAAUACUAUUAUAUAUAUAAGCUUUCUUAAAUUUAGUUAAAUGGGUCGGGUAUGGAUAGAGUAUGAAUCAAAAAUUUUGUAUUGUAAUAAUUGGUCAUAAACAAGUUAAAUGGGUCGAUUUGGGUCGGACCAUUUAUGACCCAACCCAAACCUGACUCGACCCACCUGUUUAACGGGUAUACCAGAACAUCAAUGACAAUGUUGCUACCGCAACUAGGCAACAACCACCGGAUAAUAGAAGACCCGGCAAUGUUGUCAUAGUUAGCAUUAUCAACAUUCUCGUUGGUGUUAGCCUCAACAAAAAAACAAAGCACCAUGAUCGCGGUGCCCAUCAUGAACUUCAUUGUCAUUGGGUGUUAGAAAAAUCCCUUAGGAUGUUUUAAAAAUGAUAAAAUAAAUCAAAGGUUAAUAAUGUGUUUAAUAAGAAAUUAUUAUUUUUUUGUAAAAUAGGGAGAGGGGGAAAUGAAAGGAAAUGCUUGCAAGACCCCUCUUGUUUCCAAUUUCUCUUAUUUUUUUUUUUGUAAAAUAGGGAAUUAUUUUCAACAAAAGUUAUUUUAGUCUAUUAAUCUCUUUUAUAUCUCUCAUAGCCUUUUAUUUUGACAUAUAUACAGGUCACUUAGUCUUUGUCUAGUCAUUUUGUCCGAGACGAUAAAUGUUUUGGAAUGAAGUUAUAAAAUCAUAAGUUCGGUUGGGGUGAUGUGAAAAUUAGUUCCAUGAGUUUCUCACCGUGCUUUGGAAACAGAAAUGAGAGAAAUCCUAUAAUCAUAUAUUGAUUAGUAGCUUCGUGGCAAUGAACAUAGUAGCAUUAAAUUCCCAUUUGCCAAUUCACAUGGACAACCAACUUAAUCCAUCAAUAAGUUCGCAUUUGGCAUUUGAUGGAUAUUGGAUCUCAUUUGGUUGAGCUGUAUUGCCAAUUUCAGGUGAAUCUCUUCCUUGUAAUUUCCCUAAUGGUUUCUAUGUGUCUACUGUCAGGUGAAGCCACCAUCAAAGAAUCUCCCUCAAAUUGUAAAACCCACUCCCAGACCUCUUCAACCAUCUUCUUCACCACCUCCCUCUCUUCUCUCAGACCUCAAGCUGCCCUCUCUAUCUCCAUUACCAACCCUGACUCUCUCUAUAACCGAUCAUGAUAAUCUGAUGAACUUUCUUAAGUCCAAACUCUCUUUCCCUCUUACACCCAGGAGUCUCCUCCACUUCCUCAAGUGCAAACUCCACCCCAACCCUCAUUUGACCCUCUAUGACUUUUAUAUAUUCAGUUGGGCCUCCACGGUUGACUCCUAUCGCCAUGACCACUCAACAUUUGAGUGGAUGGCUCGCACUCUCGCUAUUUCAAGCCGUUUCGAGCAACUCAAUUCGCUUCUCCAGUUCAUGGCCUCAAACCCUUGCCCUUGCUCUGAUGGAAUUUUCUCAUGCGCCAGGACAGAGCCAAUCUUUCAAUUCUCAAUAGAAACUUAUUGCAGAGCUCGGAAACGAGAGGAAAGCAGUGAUUGCUUUUGAGAGUAUGGAGAAGAUGAUUGAUGGCAGGCUGAGUGCGGUGAGUUAUAAUGCUUUGAUUCAUGGAUUUGUGAAAUGGGGUGACCAUGCCAGGGCUCUGGCCAUCUAUGAUCAAAUGAUAAGGAACAUAGUCAAGCCUAAUGUGAUAACCUUUAAUAUCUUGAUUAGUAGUUAUUGUAGAAUAUUACAGUUUGGAUUGGCUUGGUGGUGUUUAAGGAGAUGAAGGAGAAGGGUUGCAGCCCAGAUGUGGUCAGUUUCAAUACUUUGAUCAGGGGGUUUUUUCGGGAGAGGAAGUUUGAGGAUGUGAUCGCAAUGGCUUAUGAGAUGAUCGAACUGGGGUGCCAGUUGUCGAGUGUGACUUGUGAGAUUUUGGUCGAUGGCCUCUGUACGGAAGGUAAAGUAGCUGAGGCAUGUGAAUUGCUGAUUGGUUUUCCAAGUAAAAGAGUGUUGCCUGAGGAGUAUGAUUAUUUUGGCCUUGUGGAAGCUUUGUGCAGUUUAGGCAAUUCUCAUAGAGCACUUGAUGUUGUUACUGAUCUGUGAAAGACGGGAAAUAUUCCAAAUCUUGAUUGCUUGUAGUACUUUGGUGGAAGGGUUGAGGAAGCAGAAGAAAAGGGAAGAUGCACUUGCUUUGAUGGAAAAUAUGCUUAAAGAAGGUAUUGUACCAGACAUUGUGACGUUUAAUUGUUUGCUUGAGGAUCUUUCUGAUAUAGGGAAGACUGUGGAAGCAAACAAAUUGAGGUUGUUGGCGCAAAGCAAAGGUUUGGAACCAGAUGGCAUGAUGGACAGGGUUCUGGUAUCUGGUUUGACGAGAGAAAGAAAGAGAAAGGAGGGCCAGAUUCUGGUAGAUGAGAUGUUAGACAAGGACUUUAUACCUGAUCUUGCAACGUACAAUAGAUUGAUUGAUGGACUUUCAAACUCAAAAAUUACUUCUAGGAAGAAAGGUUGAAGAUGGGUUAGGAUCUUAUUCAUUUCAACUUGGUUUCUUGAAUGCUGGCAUCUGUUUGCAAACACCCUCAUGCUUUGUGCUUGGUUUGCCAAUCAGUUUUAUCACUUUGGGACAAAGUGGGUUUAUGGCUAUGUUUCAGAUGGUUGAGGACAAUGUACAGCCUGGGAGCGAACAGAACAGAUACUGGUACGUGCACAAAACGAGUGGAAAGGAACGGAAACUUCGCAUUGAGUUGUACGAAUUGUAAAGCCAGGAGAGCAGAUUGUGAUGCUCAGCAAGAGAUGAUGCGGAUAAGUAGUGCCCAGACGACAUCUAGGAGGUAUGAAUCAUUGUAACGGUGAUAAGCAUUAAUCCUAAGAUAUGAGAGAGCUGGAAAGUUUGAGUGACUGAGAAUAGUUUAUUUGGAUUAUGUUUGUAUAUAGACGUGAUUAAUAAUGAUACCAAUGAGCGUGUAUAUUAUAAAAGCUGCAGAAGAUGAACAUUGAAUUUUCUGGCAGAUCUCAAACUGACACCGAUUAAUCUAAUGAGGAAAAGCUUAGGGUAGAAAAUUCAUGCAAAUUCUGAUUUGGGCUCUGCUAUAUAUAUGAUAUAACUUGUGUGAGAUAGACCCUGGCAAAGAGAUUUCUUAGGAUUGAAAGCAAUGCAGAAAAGAGAAGGCAAGAGCCAAAGCUGUUAAAACAAAGUAUAAAAUCAUAAACCAUCAGGUUGGCAAAGCUGUCAAGUACUCGAUGUUGAUAGAACAAAUUAGGCACUUUACAUUUGGUUUGGUGGUGACACAGCCCUAAUAAUGCCCUUUUUCUGUGCUCCUCAUCGAUGAAUCGGUUGAUGAGAAAAAUAAUCCCCUAACUUCAUAAAUUCGGUAAGACAAAAACUCCAUGAGUGGCUCAAGUAUAAGAUUGUUUGAACUUGAUGAUAUAAUCGGCAUGCCUUAUCCAUGCAUACAUAUCUUUAGUGUGUGCAAGUGCUGCCAUUAAACUUUAGUUUUACAUUUUAUUAAAUGUAACACCAUAAAAAAGUUUUAUCUUGCUAAAAAGCUCUGGACCCUCUAGAUUACCAUAUUAAGACGACUCGUUUCAACUUUUUAACAGAGGAUAGAUUCAAAUCACGGCACUUGUUUAGGAUUUUUCUUUAUGAGACGAAAAUUAGUAUUUUGGAUUUUUGAUAGGCUAAAGUUUUGGAGUAAACGUAUCAUGAGAGCACAAAUUUUGUUUUGGGGGAGGGGGGUUGGGUUUUGAGACGAAAAUUAGUUUGAGGUACAUGUAUCAUAGGAUACUAAUUUGGGAUUUUUAGUCAUAUUAACCCUUGGCAUAAUGAUAUAUACAUAUAUAUUUAUGUAAUUUUGGAUGUCAAACACCAAAUUUAUCCUUCUUUAUGAUUUCUUAAAGUAAAUCUACAUAACAAACAUCACUUCAUAUCACAAACUGUCAUAAUCAAGUACAUGUAUAGGAUCCGAGGCAUGCUCAGAUCAUUACGAUAGACAGAAACAACAUUAGUGAAUCACAUGAUAGUGUAACCCAACAGCGAACUCGCUACAUAGCUUCAAGGAGUAGUAGUGGAAACAGACAUGUCUUUCGGAAUUGUGGGAACGACUGGUAGUGUUGGCUUAGGGAAAUCGAGGAGAUGAGUUAGUUCGGGCACUUUUGG